CAGCCGCCGCGGUAAUACCGGCGGCCCGAGUGGCGGUCACUAUUAUUGGGCUUAAAGCGUCCGUAGCCGGGUUGGGAAGUCCUCCGGGAAAUCUGGCCGCUUAACGGUCAGAAUGCCGGAGGAUACUCCCAGCCUAGGGAGCGGGAGAGGCCGAGGGUAUUCCCGGAGUAGGGGGGAAAUCCUAUAAUCCCCGGAGGACCACCUGUGGCGAACGCGCUCGGCUGGAACGCGUCCGACGGUGAGGGACGAAGGCCAGGGGAGCAAACCGGAUUAGAUACCCGGGUAGUCCUGGCUGUAAACGAUGCGGACUUUGUGUCGGACAAGCUAUGAGCUUGUCCGGUGCCGGAGGGAAACCGUUAAGUCCGCCGCCUGGGGAGUACGGCCGCAAGGCUGAAACUUAAAGGAAUUGGCGGG
rnacentral:rRNA from 1 species